rnacentral:RNase_P_RNA from 1 species
AAGGCGAUUGCGAGUCGUAAGAUUCGAGGAAAGUCCGAGCUCCGCAGGGCAGGAUGCCAGAUAACGUCUGGCGAGGGUAACCUUAGGGACAGUGCCAUAGAAAAGAAAACCGCCACAUCAGUGGUAAGGGUGGAAAGGUGAGGUAAGAGCUCACCAGCAGUCUGGUAACAGGCUGGCUCGGUAAACCCCAUCCGGAGCAAGGCCGAAUAGGGAAGGGUUGAUGUUGCCCGCAGACCUUCCGGGUUGUGCCGCUCGAGCGUGCAGGUGACUGUACGCCUAGAAAGAUAAUCGCCACUGCGUAAGCAGUACAGAACUCGGCUUAUUGACUGCUUG